CAGCCCCUCGAGUGGUGAGGAUGAUUAUUUGGCCUAAAGCGUCCGUAGCCGGCCGAGUAAGUCCCCCGUUAAAUCCAGCGUCUCAAGCGUUGGACUGCGGGAGAUACUACUUGGCUAGAGAGUGGGAGAGGUCAGCGGUAUUCUGGGGGUAGGGGCGAAAUCCUUUGAUCCCCGGAGGACCACCAGUGGCGAAGGCUGCUGACUAGAACACGUCUGACGGUCAGGGACGAAAGCUGGGGUAGCGAACCGGAUUAGAGACCCGAGUAGUCC
rnacentral:rRNA from 1 species